CGGCAGCCGUGACCGUGGCACUAGGUAAUGCAUUCUUGCGGGGCAGGGGGCGGCUCAGAGGGUUCGCGGGAAGCGAGCCCAGGAGCUCCGCGACUUGCGACUUGUAGGAAUCGGAAGUGGGACUGGAAGCGUGGAGGAAGGGCUGGAGGCUCGGGGUAGAGGCGUCCUCGGGUGGCGGCUUCAUGUUCUACUUCGUGGGCUACGUGUUCUAGGCUUUUCCCCUGGCCGAGGCGUUCGCUUGUGUGGACCGGGCAGAGACGAGCACAGGGCCAGGAGAGAGGGCCAGAGGACACCCUGAUGAGGCGAGAGGGUCUAAUCCAUGUUCCCCUUCCACCUCCCCUUGCUGGAAUGGGGGAAGAGUGACGCCACCACAUCCAAGGUGGCUUCGCAGGACUCCGCACGCUGCUCGAGGGAUUGCGCCCUGUGAGAACCUCAGCUCUUCCUCCCCUGGUCUAGGUGGGCUAGGCUCCAAAGAUGGCUCCCAGUGAACCACAGCUCCUGCUAUUAAUGCUCAUGUGUACUUCCCACCUUCAUUUGUACGGGCUGGUCUGUGACUCGUGUUAACCACUUGAAUGCACUAGAAGUGGGGUUGUACCAAUUCUAGACCUGGUCUUUAAGAGGACUGGCCACUUCCACUUUCUCCUUCUUGGAGCAUUUGCUUUUGGGAGCUCUGAACGACCAUGAAAUAAGUGUGACUACCUUACUGGAGAGACACUAUGGAAAGAUUGCAUGAAGAGGGAGAGAGACCCUGUUGUUACGAUGUUCCUGUUAUCUGAAGAGAUGACUCCAAUCCCACCUGUCAUCUGACUGUAACCACGUGAGAGGCCCUAGGUGAGACCAGGGGAAGAACUGCCCAUAUGAUCUCAGUCAACCAACAGAAGCACAAGGGUCAUUCCAGUGCCAUCUAUUGAUGAAGCUUAAAAUUCUGCCACCUAACAAAGGAGAAGCUUUUGCAGGAUCCAAGUCCAUUACCACAAAACACAGGGCAAAGAAGAGUGAAUUUAGAAUGGAGAACCAAUAAGUUGAUAAUUUGCACA